rnacentral:tRNA from 1 species
GACCACAUAGCGCACUAGAUUAGCGCGUCUGACUUCGGAUUAGAAGGUCGUGGGUUAGACGACCACUGUGGUUG